rnacentral:rRNA from 1 species
GGACGGGUGAGUAACGCGUGGGAAUCUGCCCUCAGGAGGGGGAUAACGGCUGGAAACGGCCGCUAAUACCCCAUAUGCCGAGAGGUGAAAUGAAUUUCGCCUGAGGAUGAGCCCGCGUCUGAUUAGCUAGUUGGUGUGGUAAUGGCUCACCAAGGCUUCGAUCAGUAGCUGGUCUGAGAGGAUGAUCAGCCACACUGGGACUGAGACACGGCCCAGACUCCUACGGGAGGCAGCAGUGGGGAAUUUUCCGCAAUGGGCGAAAGCCUGACGGAGCAACGCCGCGUGAGGGAUGAAGGCCUCUGGGCUGUAAACCUCUUUUUUCAAGGAAGAAGACCUGACGGUACUUGAAGAAUAAGCCACGGCUAAUUCCGUGCCAGCAGCCGCGGUAAUACGGGAGUGGCAAGCGUUAUCCGGAAUUAUUGGGCGUAAAGCGUCCGCAGGCGGCCCUGAAAGUCUGUCGUUAAAGCGUGGAGCUCAACUCCAUUUAAGCGAUGGAAACUACAGGGCUAGAGUGUGGUAGGGGCAGAGGGAAUUCCCGGUGUAGCGGUGAAAUGCGUAGAUAUCGGGAAGAACACCAGUGGCGAAGGCGCUCUGCUGGGCCAUAACUGACGCUCAUGGACGAAAGCCAGGGGAGCGAAAGGGAUUAGAUACCCCUGUAGUCCUGGCCGUAAACGAUGAACACUAGGUGUCGGGGGAAUCGACCCCCUCGGUGUCGUAGCCAACGCGUUAAGUGUUCCGCCUGGGGAGUACGCACGCAAGUGUGAAACUCAAAGGAAUUGACGGGGGCCCGCACAAGCGGUGGAGUAUGUGGUUUAAUUCGAUGCAACGCGAAGAACCUUACCAGGGUUUGACAUCCUGCGAAUCCCUUGGAAACGAGGGAGUGCCUUCGGGAGCGCAGAGACAGGUGGUGCAUGGCUGUCGUCAGCUCGUGUCGUGAGAUGUUGGGUUAAGUCCCGCAACGAGCGCAACCCACGUCGUUAGUUGCCAGCAUUCAGUUGGGCACUCUAGCGAGACCGCCGGUGAUAAACCGGAGGAAGGUGUGGAUGACGUCAAGUCAUCAUGCCCCUUACAUCCCGGGCUACACACGUACUACAAUGCUACGGACAAAGGGCAGCAAGCUCGCGAGAGUUAGCAAAUCCCAUAAACCGUGGCUCAGUUCAGAUCGUAGGCUGCAACUCGCCUACGUGAAGGAGGAAUCGCUAGUAAUCGCAGGUCAGCAUACUGCGGUGAAUACGUUCCCGGGCCUUGUACACACCGCCCGUCACACCAUGGAAGUUGGCCACGCCCGAAGUCGUUACUCCAACCCUUGUGGAGGAGGACGCCGAAGGUGGGGCUGAUGACUGGGGUGAAGUCGAAACAAGGUA